rnacentral:rRNA from 1 species
UUUAUGGAGAGUUUGAUCCUGGCUCAGAGUGAACGCUGGCGGCGUGCCUAAUACAUGCAAGUCGAACGAUGAAGCUUCUAGCUUGCUAGAAUGCUGAUUAGUGGCGCACGGGUGAGUAACGCAUAGGUCAUGUGCCUCUUAGUUUGGGAUAGCCAUUGGAAACGAUGAUUAAUACCAGAUACUCCCUACGGGGGAAAGAUUUAUCGCUAAGAGAUCAGCCUAUGUUCUAUCAGCUUGUUGGUAAGGUAAUGGCUUACCAAGGCUAUGACGGGUAUCCGGCCUGAGAGGGUGAACGGACACACUGGAACUGAGACACGGUCCAGACUCCUACGGGAGGCAGCAGUAGGGAAUAUUGCUCAAUGGGGGAAACCCUGAAGCAGCAACGCCGCGUGGAGGAUGAAGGUUUUAGGAUUGUAAACUCCUUUUGUUAGAGAAGAUAAUGACGGUAUCUAACGAAUAAGCACCGGCUAACUCCGUGCCAGCAGCCGCGGUAAUACGGAGGGUGCAAGCGUUACUCGGAAUCACUGGGCGUAAAGAGCGCGUAGGCGGGAUAGUCAGUCAGGUGUGAAAUCCUAUGGCUUAACCAUAGAACUGCAUUUGAAACUACUAUUCUAGAGUGUGGGAGAGGUAGGUGGAAUUCUUGGUGUAGGGGUAAAAUCCGUAGAGAUCAAGAGGAAUACUCAUUGCGAAGGCGACCUGCUGGAACAUUACUGACGCUGAUUGCGCGAAAGCGUGGGGAGCAAACAGGAUUAGAUACCCUGGUAGUCCACGCCCUAAACGAUGGAUGCUAGUUGUUGGAGGGCUUAGUCUCUCCAGUAAUGCAGCUAACGCAUUAAGCAUCCCGCCUGGGGAGUACGGUCGCAAGAUUAAAACUCAAAGGAAUAGACGGGGACCCGCACAAGCGGUGGAGCAUGUGGUUUAAUUCGAAGAUACACGAAGAACCUUACCUAGGCUUGACAUUGAGAGAAUCCGCUAGAAAUAGUGGAGUGUCUAGCUUGCUAGACCUUGAAAACAGGUGCUGCACGGCUGUCGUCAGCUCGUGUCGUGAGAUGUUGGGUUAAGUCCCGCAACGAGCGCAACCCCCUUUCUUAGUUGCUAACAGGUCAUGCUGAGAACUCUAAGGAUACUGCCUCCGUAAGGAGGAGGAAGGUGGGGACGACGUCAAGUCAUCAUGGCCCUUACGCCUAGGGCUACACACGUGCUACAAUGGGGUGCACAAAGAGAAGCAAUACUGCGAAGUGGAGCCAAUCUUCAAAACGCCUCUCAGUUCGGAUUGUAGGCUGCAACUCGCCUGCAUGAAGCUGGAAUCGCUAGUAAUCGCAAAUCAGCCAUGUUGCGGUGAAUACGUUCCCGGGUCUUGUACUCACCGCCCGUCACACCAUGGGAGUUGUGUUUGCCUUAAGUCAGGAUGCUAAACUAGCUACUGCCCACGGCACACACAGCGACUGGGGUGAAGUCGUAACAAGGUAACCGUAGGUGAACCUGCGGUUGGAUCACCUCCUUUCUAGA